AUUGAACGCUGGCGGCAUGCCUUACACAUGCAAGUCGAACGGUAACAGGUCUUCGGAUGCUGACGAGUGGCGAACGGGUGAGUAAUACAUCGGAACGUGCCCGAGAGUGGGGGAUAACGAGGCGAAAGCUUUGCUAAUACCGCAUACGAUCUCAGGACGAAAGCAGGGGACCGCAAGGCCUUGCGCUCACGGAGCGGCCGAUGGAAGAUUAGGUAGUUGGUGGGAUAAAAGCUUACCAAGCCGACGAUCUGUAGCUGGCCUGAGAGGACGACCAGCCACACUGGGACUGAGACACGGCCCAGACUCCUACGGGAGGCAGCAGUGGGGAAUUUUGGACAAUGGGCGCAAGCCUGAUCCAGCCAUGCCGCGUGCAGGAUGAAGGCCUUCGGGUUGUAAACUGCUUUUGUACGGAACGAAAAGACUCUGGUUAAUACCUGGGGUCCAUGACGGUACCGUAAGAAUAAGCACCGGCUAACUACGUGCCAGCAGCCGCAGUAACAC
rnacentral:rRNA from 1 species